GUUGACCUCGGAUCAGGUAGGAAUACCCGCUGAACUUAAGCAUAUCAAUAAGCGGAGGAAAAGAAACCAACAGGGAUUGCCCCAGUAACGGCGAGUGAAGCGGCAACAGCUCAAAUUUGAAAUCUGGCCCCAGGCCCGAGUUGUAAUUUGCAGAGGAUGCUUUUGGCGCGGUGCCUUCCGAGUUCCCUGGAACGGGACGCCAUAGAGGGUGAGAGCCCCGUACGGUUGGACACCAAGCCUUUGUAAAGCUCCUUCGACGAGUCGAGUAGUUUGGGAAUGCUGCUCUAAAUGGGAGGUAUAUUUCUUCUAAAGCUAAAUAUAGGCCAGAGACCGAUAGCGCACAAGUAGAGUGAUCGAAAGAUGAAAAGCACUUUGAAAAGAGGGUUAAACAGCACGUGAAAUUGUUGAAAGGGAAGCGCUUGUGACCAGACUUGCGUCCGGUGAAUCACCCAGCUCUCGCGGCUGGGGCACUUUGCCGGCACAGGCCAGCAUCAGCUCGCUGUCGGGGACAAAAGCUUCGGGAACGUAGCUCUCUUCGGGGAGUGUUAUAGCCCGUUGCAUAAUACCCUUCGGUGGGCUGAGGUACGCGCUCCGCAAGGAUGCUGGCGUAAUGGUCAUCAGCGAC
rnacentral:rRNA from 2 species